rnacentral:rRNA from 1 species
GACGAACGCUGGCGGCGUGCCUAAUACAUGCAAGUCGAGCGAAUCUCGAGGAGCUUGCUCCUUGAGAUUAGCGGCGGACAGGUGAGUAACACGUGGGCAACCUGCCUGUAAGACUGGGAUAACACCGGGAAACCGGUGCUAAUACCGGAUAAUUCUUCUCCUCACAUGAGGGGAAGCUGAAAGUCGGUUUCGGCUGACACUUACAGAUGGGCCCGCGGCGCAUUAGCUAGUUGGUGAGGUAACGGCUCACCAAGGCGACGAUGCGUAGCCGACCUGAGAGGGUGAUCGGCCACACUGGGACUGAGACACGGCCCAGACUCCUACGGGAGGCAGCAGUAGGGAAUCUUCCGCAAUGGACGAAAGUCUGACGGAGCAACGCCGCGUGAGUGAUGAAGGCCUUCGGGUCGUAAAACUCUGUUGUUAGGGAAGAACAAGUAUCGGAGUAACUGCCGGUACCUUGACGGUACCUAACCAGUAAGCCACGGCUAACUACGUGCCAGCCGCCGCCGUAA